CGGAGGCAGCGUAGCAAGUGGCUGCGGCAUUCAUCACAGAGAAUUAAUCAGAGCAGAUGAAGCGACAACCGAAAAAUAACGACGCGGCAUCUACUGAAAGGCUUCGCGUUAUCGCUUCAAUCGACAACGCCGGCUCUCAGUCUUCCUCUUCUACAUCGUCCACAUCUUCGACUUCGUCGUCGUCUUCUUCUUCUUCUGCGUGACCAGGCACCAGAUUCUGUACACACACACACACACACACGCAUGCACCUAUUGAUAUGCAUGUCUCAAAGCGGGUAGAGGGAAAGAGAGAGGGAGAGGGAGAGCGGCGCUUCGCAUCGAUAGCAGCGAUUGACAUUGACGUAAAUUCUCAGCCUUUUGGACUUUGUAUUUGGCCUCCGCCUCAGCCUCUGCAUCCAUCAAAAGUGCGCGCCCAGCGUGUGUCAAAUUAUAAAUUCUUCCUCUUCUCUGGCUGAUCGCAAAAAAUGUAAAUCUAAUUUCUGGCCGGGCAUAUUCAAAAUAGGUAAUGGAUUUUGCAUUUGGGCUGACAAGUACAAGCCCAUUUAAUCAAUAAUUAAGCAUAAUCCAUCAAGUACAAAGUGUCAAAUGCACUCGCGAACACUUUUUCUCCUCGUUUUUGUUGUUGUCGUCGCUCAAGCUUAAAAAGGAUUUCCAUUACGCCCCAAAAAGCCGCAUCGCUCAAAAAUCCAAAAUAGAAAAAAAUCAAGUUGUCCUUGUCAAAGCGAGAGAGAGAAAAAAAAACAUUCACUACACGAAACAAAUCCGCGCUCGUCACAUCUGCAUGUCAAACCAGCAGCCAAACAACCCUCGAGCCCAACUGUGCCCUGUGUCUGCUACAGUAGAGAUACGAUAGCAGCAACAGCAGCAGAAGCAGCAGCAGCCGGCUUAUCUAAGCUGAAAAGCCAAAGUCGUGCCCUUGCCCCCCCCACCCCAACUCCCGUUCCUGUUCCUGUUUCUGUUUCUGUGUUUGUUCCUAUUCCUGUUUUAAGAGCUGGGACACAACAAAUGUUGUUGCUCUUGCUCUGGUAAAUGAGUCAAUGGAUCUGUAACAACAAAUGUCCAUUUUUCAAUUUACCUGACCGUGUCUCGCCCUCUCGCCCUCUCGCGUCGCCCCCUCGUGUCAACCGCGCAGCCUGCAUAAAUUGAAUCUCACAGUAGAGACUCGUGAAUAAAUAAACAAAACACCCACCGAAUCGCUCUAUAAAUUAGACCCUGACCAGUGGCCGGUGACAUGGAGUGACUUCGACUCGGUUUAGCCAGCGGCCAAAUGGCCGUGAAAUUUUUCCAAUAUGCCUUGUUUCAUUAUUGCGGUACACGCUAUUUCCCUCUCCCUCUCACUCUCGCCCUCUCCUCUGGCUGCCCUCAUCUUCAGCCUCAGUUUCCCCCUCCUAUUAGUCAUUUAGCAUUACGACCAUGUCCAUUCGCUUGUAUAUCCGCCAGCACUUAUAUAUACAUAUAUAUCGAGAGAGUGAGAGAGAGAGAGAGAGCGAGAUAGAUCGAAACUGUGGAACGCACUCAUAAAUUAUGCCUUUGCACCCUGCGUGGACGAGUGCAUAAAUUUGUGCUUCGCUCCUUCCGCUAGUUUAACAUAAUUUUUAAAAGAAGCAACUGCUCCAGUUUCUCGCUUAUAACAUUUGGCCUGAUCUGAACGUCUGAACGUCUGACGUCUGUCCAGUUUAACUCUUGAGAAUUUAUCGUCCAUAAUUUGUCAUUUAUUUGCAAAGUCCAUUGUCUUGACUGAGUUAUCUUCCUGUAUGUCAAUUGAAUACUCGGGGGUAGUUAGAAGUUACUCAAGUAAGUUCGAGUACCUGAAUGUUGCUUAAGCUCUGAUGAUAAAAAUAUGAUAUGAUGUGGAUAUGAUAUGAUAUGAUGUCGGGCUAUGACGUGAACUAUAUCCACGGAAAUCCUACCCACAUAUGUGCACGAUCUUUAUAGCUCACUUGUAGAUAUGAGAAUCGCAUAGAAAGCAUUUUUUAUGGCUUGAUAUAAAUUGAUUUUAUAAUUAUGUAGUCAACUGGCAGAGAGAGAGAGAGAGAGAGAGGGAGAGAGAGAGUGAGAGAGAGCAAUCCUUGGAAUUAUGUAGAGUUUUAUAUGAAUUUAUGAGAAUCGCAUAGAAUGGUUAUACUAAUCAAUGCAAUUUGCAGAUCAUACACGUAUUAUUGGACAAGUACAUGAGGGAAUAUGUGAGAGAUAUAUAUCUAAAGCAACUUAGUUCGGCUUCUGCUUAGCGCUUCUUCAUCGUGUUUUAUUGCUAGUUAGCUAAUCAGAAAGAAAUCCAAAUGUUUGAUUAGUGAUUCAUAAGGCCAUUCAUACUUAAGGCAAAUUGGAUGUUGGCCAUUAUAAAUGAUGUCUGUGCGCUGGCUAUCGCUGGCUGUCAUCGCGAUCAUAAAGUGAUGUAUAUGUACAUAUUAACAUUUCAUUUCAACAAUUCAUUUUCAUACACUUCACGUCAUUUAUUUUCAGAGAGGAAUACUCAUUAAUGCUUUUACCAGCUAAUGUAAACAACGCACACACACCCAGACACACACACACACAUACAGUCGCACACAGAUGCAAAGAGUCGCAUGUGAAUGGAUUGAAAUUUAUGAAAGGCCAUCGCAGCAUCAAAGCCAAUUAAGAUACUGCCAUUGAAUACAUACAAGCUUUAAAGGAAUACACGACUAAUUUCUGCGACAAAGCCGACAAAAGAUCCAGUGCGAGUGAGAAAGAGAGAGGGAGAGAGAGAGUGAGAAUGAGAGUGAGGCUGGACUGGAGGUGGAUUGGGAAGUUGGGUCCACUUUUGUCGCAGCGGCACUUUUGUGAGCCGAAAGACAGGCCGUAAAAUUAAGAACUCUGAUUGUGUCUACUCGGCGCAUCAAUGAUAAAAUAUUUAAAUGAGCGAGGCACAUUUGCAGGAAACCAAAAACCAAACACCGAACACCGAAUGCCGACUGCCGACUGCCUAAAGCGGAAAGCCAGCGACCGCAGCGGCCCUAAUGGGCCUAUGUAAGCAUCUAUCUGGACAUGGACAUGGCCAACAUGGUCAAGGGGCACCAAAAGUGUGAAGGAGCCGAACGCCAAUAGCCGCCAUCCAGCUGCCCAGAUUAAAUAAGAGAAACAACGAACCGAGCCAAUAUGAAUACACGGCUAGCAUAUUAAAUUACAAUCCGAACGACUUUCCGAUUGACAAGUGGACAACGCUGGAUCGGGGCACUCGUGUGCUGAUUGUCGGCAGGACAAAGUCGUUGGCCAGGUUGAAGUCGAAGUCGAGGUCUGAUUCUUGUUCCUUGGCCUGGUCGAGACGUAUCAUAAAAGGCAUAAACAGUUGUAAAGAGCAAAACCACAAAAGGGGCGUAGAGUUAAAAAUUGAGCACUAAAACGUUAUCGAAAGCGGGACAGAUUAACUAGGCUCAGACAGACGGCGGACAGGUAGGCAGGCCAGCAGGGACAGGUAGUUGAGUUCAAUGCAUAUAUCGCAUGCAUCUUAAAGAUACUUGUACAACAUUAUGUUCAUUGCUCUGUUGUAACAGAUACUCACACACACACACACACACACAGAUCGACCUGGCACACUGCGUGUGAUCGAUCAGGCCGUGCAAUUAAAAUGAGAUCUGCCCAGUUGGCAACUGGUGCCAGCCAGGCCGAGAGCGCGGAGAGUGAGUGACCCACAGCGGCGCUAUUGUCCUGCCCGUUGUCCAUUCACAAGUGUCGUCGCGUCAGUGACAUAGUGAGACGCAGAUAAAACUAGAAAAGGACUCGCUGCAUCAUUGAUAAGGCUGCGGCUGGACCAGCGCCUGGCGCCAGCGUCGCCUAGAUCGAAUUGCCCUUCCUUCGAGGGGACAUUUUUCGGGAGUGAGAGCGAGCGACCUUCUUCAUUCAUCAGGCAGUCAAAUUUCGGGACACAGUCGAGCUCAACUUGAAUUUUUAAUGCCCUCACUGCUGCUCAUAAAAUAGAUAAAAAGUGGCACAGCACAUGUAACGGUGCCUGAGAACUAAGAGAUACCCUGUAUCAGCCAAAGGAGUCCUUCAUUCAUGAUUGCACAUGAUGUAUGGGAACUGAACGAUAUCCUUGAGCUACUAAGUUAAGUCUACUGUGUUUGUAUGUGGAUCUUUAAGAAUAUUCUUAUAAAUAUAUAUAAUGAUUAUAUAUGCUUAAGGAGCAUUUAUAUGGCUAUAGAAUAACAGUUCUAUGGUAAAAAUGUUCACCGAUUAUUCAUGAUGCAGCUAUUCGUGGUCAAAAUCAGAGAAAGUCCAAAAUACCCAAAUUUAUGUUAUAAUAAAUACAGGGUAUUCUGGUUGUUCACUUGUACAUCAACAUUUAACAUAUAUAAAAAACUGUUAAGUAGUUUUCCAUUUUUAAUUAUGUAACUAAAUAAUGUGAAGUACUGUAUGGAUGGGAAUACUCUAUUUGUGUAUAUUCAUAUUUAGCCCAUUUUCUAAUAUAAAAUUUUAUUGCUAUCAACUUGAGCUAUGUACAUAAUAUAAACAACCAUGAGUGUCCUAGUCUGUAGCAUUCUAAAACUUGCAUUGAACCACUGUAAUAAAUGUAUUUUUAAUAAUAUUCAGUGCUCAUUAAUAAAUCAAUCGAGGCUUAGAAAUAUUUCAAAAAAAGCUUAUGAAAUAAUUGUAAUAUAAUAAGAUGCCUAAAGUCCUAAAUUGUUUAGAAUAGAAUAGAACUUGUCAGUAAAUAACAGCACAGGACUUUUAAAUUAAGAGUUUUUUUUCUCUAUUGAUUCUUGUAACAUAUAGCUCAGGGAAUCAGUCUCGAUUCCAUAUAUAUCUUUCAUUUGAGGCUCAAUUAUUUCAAUAAAGUGUACUCAAGCUAUCGUAAUUACUUGAUAAUUAUCAGCAACAUUUUUAUGCCCAUACAAACAUACAUAUUUCAUUUCAAGGCUCAAGUGUUUGUAUUUAAGCUCUUCAAGUCAGUGGCACAAGGGAGGCCACGUUUCGAUAUUUCUGGAAGGCUUAAUCUUAACAUUUCUCUACCCUUAAUUGAAUUUCGUGAAACAUUUUUGCCUUUUGGCAUUGAUUUCUAUGAGGGGUUGCAACGUGGACUCAGCGCUUGGGGCACAUAAAUAACAUCACGUGUUCCAGCUUACAUAUUUAUAUCGCUGUAUUCACAAGGAGAUAUUUAUAUGUAUAUUUGUAUGUAUAUAUAUGCAUGAUCCGCAACGAAGCUGCUUAAUAUAGCCACGUUUAUGCCUAUGUUCGCUUAUCUAUGCGAAUUUAUCGAUUCGUUAGAGCGAAUAAAAUAGAUUAAGAAAUUACAUUUGUUUUUAGCUCAAUGCAAAGGGAUUAAAUUGUGUAU